CCGACCAUAGCAAGAACAAAGGGAGAAAAGAAAGAACAAGAACCCUAAGGUGAAAAUUCAAGAGAAAAUUGGUGGAUUUCAAGUAAUUAAGCAAUCAAAGGUAAAAUUUCUUGAUUUUGACUUGUGAUCUACCUUUUUCAUGCAUUCUUUUGCAUUUUCCAUGGUUGAAUCACAUGAUUUCAUGAUGGGUAUCUUGCUGGCUGAACAUUUAGAGAGAGGUUUUGAUGCUUGAUUUGGUUAGAUUUUAAGAUAUUUUAGUGUUUUUAGUUAGUUAGUGAUGUAUAGCAUGAAAAUCAAGCAAGAAAAGUUCAUGUUCUUCCAUCACCCAUCAAUGGUCGAAUUUUACAAGAGAAACUGUGAGGAUGAUUUUGCCAUAUUUCAAGUUAUUUAAUUUGUGCUUGAUGAUUUGGAGUAUUGGGAGAAAAAUGAAAUUAUUUGGAGUUGAAUUGGACGUAUUGGCCAAUUAAUCAAGUGAUGGAUCGAAUUAGGCUAAUACCGUUUAAUUUAGGUACACAAUUUAAUUUGUGUAGAACACCGUGUUUAGACAAUAAUCCGAACAAUUUGCAUCCCAUUUCAUACAUUAGUAUAAAGCUUGAAUUAGUUUUAUAACAAUUUAGCAUAAUGUAGUAAAUGGCUUAUUGUGCAUUAUGUCUAGGUGGUGAGUAUUUUGGCAAAAGUAAAGAGAUAGUACCAGAUGAUCAAGAAUCGGAGUACUUGGAAUUCGACUCUCAAAAUAGUGAGUAACCUUACUAUCGUCUUAAUUAUCUAAAGUAUGUUUUAUUCGAUUUUGUGAAUUUUAUGGAAAAUGACUUAAAUGAUUAAUUUUUCAGUUUUAUAAACAAAAUGUGAUUUAAUGAAAUGAUUUCAUAAAAUUGUUUUGAAAUUGAAUGAUGGCUUUGAAAAUAGAGUAACUGGAGACCACUUGAUGUGUUGUAAAUUUAUGGUUCUAAUUUAUGGCUUAUGAUAAUGUGUUGGCAUGACUGGCUGAAAUUGUGGUUUGUGAACUGUAUGAAUUGUUCUGUUUUACAUUUACAGGCUGGGUAGUAUAAUAUUAGUCAUGUCAUGCUGUCAAAAUUUUAUUGUAUGGUGGGUUUAGCUUACUGCAGUGGCUAAGUUCUGUGGACCAGCCUAUUAGAAGGGCAUGAAAUUCAGUUAUAUUUUACCUCGGUUGGAGAUGUGAGUAAGGUAACUCCCGAGGUAUAACUUUAGAGUUCACUUCACACCAAACCACCACAUGAGGGUGAACUCAGCCAACGCCAAGGAACGACUAUAUUUUUAAAAUAAAAACAUGAUUUAUGCAUACAUAACUUUUUAACAACCUUGGCGGACUCGGUUGGGAUAGCCCUUGAUCAAGGCAUCCCUGAUAACUGGGUAUGAAAAUGAUUUUGGCAAGAGCCAAAGUUUUAAGAAAUUCAUAAGCCAUGUUAAUUAUUCGAUUUAUGUGAAUUGAUUUUAUUUGAUUGAAACAAGUUGAAAGGUGAUGAAUUACAAUAUGUUGAACUAUUUUAUCUGUCUCCAUUUACUCAGCUUUAGAUAUUUUAGAUGGUAUUUAUUUAAUCACUGGGAUUAUAUAAUCUCACCACCCUCAUUUCCACCCAUUUCAGGCUCAAGAUAGUCUACAGAUAGCUAAUUUCAUCGAAGACCACCAUUGGAUUUGCAUCCUCUAAACUGUAGGUUCACAAUCUUCUUUACUUUUAGUUAUUCGGGGGUCCACUUGUUACUGUAAAUUAAAUUAAAUACUCUGGCUUACUGUAUUACGAUAUAUAUGAAUUUAUUUUGCUUUUACGCUGUAAAAAUUAUUUAU
rnacentral:lncRNA from 1 species